ACGUAAACAACCUGCCUUCAGGAUGGGGACAACAGACGGAAACGACUGCUAAUACCGAAUAAGUUCCAAGAGCCGCAUGGCCCAUGGAAGAAAAGGUGGCCUCUACCUGUAAGCUAUCGCCUGAAGAGGGGUUUGCGUCUGAUUAGCUGGUUGGAGGGGUAACGGCCCACCAAGGCGACGAUCAGUAGCCGGUCUGAGAGGAUGAACGGCCACACUGGAACUGAGACACGGCCAGACUCCUACGGGAGGCAGCAUG
rnacentral:rRNA from 1 species